GGAUGUGGGGGCGAUGGGCUGCAAUACAUCAGCUUGUUGAUUGCCAGGGUCAUAUGGCUGAUCUGAUGGUGAGGCAGGUGUCCUCCUCCCUCACUGCUCCAUGUGUGGUCCCCCCAAAGCUGCACACUGGAUGGAAGGUGACCAUUCCUAACAGGACUAUUUCCUCGGUCAAGGGUACACAAGUAGCGAUGCUCCCCUGCUAGAACCUCUAAACAAGCUCUUAAAAUGAGACUCUGACUCAAAAAAAUCAAAGUAUAACUUGUAUAAGCUUUAACAAGCUCUUUAACCAACAAGGAACUAACUUCCUCUAUACAAUGGGAAUAAUGCUAAUACUU
rnacentral:snRNA from 1 species